AUUUGGGAAAAAUUGAUCAUUUAAAUUCUAGCCCAUUUGUCUUUCAAAUUCAGCCACAAUUUUAAACCCAAUUUCCCAAUCCAAUAACCCAACCCAAUCUUAUAACUAACCCGACCCACUUUCCCCCUUUUUGAUCCUGGCCGUUGAUCUCAUAGAUCAACAGCCCAUGUUGUUUCUUAACAUAAUUAAACACCCACAACCCUAACCCUAAUCAUUUCUCUCAACCAGCCGACUUUGAAUCCCUAAACACCCUCUAUCCCCUUCAAACCCUAAGCAUCUCUAGCUUUAUUUCCCCGGCAUUCAUGGCUGCUCAAGCCAUCAAGCACCUCUAUCCGUCAUUUAUCACCAUCCUUGGCCUUUGUGUUCGAAGAUUGAGACCUUGUUUCGAGGGUAACUGGACCAGAGGUCCUUUAUUGGGGUUUCACGGCCAUGUCAGGCUUCUCUCCGGCAAGCUUUUGAAGCCUUGGGUCCUUACCAAGCUCCGAAUGAGCCGUCCAGCCUUGUUUCGAGGGUAACUGGACCAGAGAUCCUUUAGUGGGGUUUCACGGCCAUGUCAGGCUUCACGGCCAUGUCAGGCUUCUCUCCGGUAAGCUUUUGAAGCCUUGGGUCCUUACCAAGCUCCGAUGAGCUGUCCAGGCUUUUCUCGCCAUUUCUGAGGCCUUUUAUGAAAACCCUAAUCGAUUUGAGGUUUUUAUUCCUGUCUCUCUCUAUUAUUUUACGAUCUUCUCUGAGUUUUGUUUGUUUUCUAAAGGUUUUUAAGUACCUCUCAUCUUUUCUUCGCCUGGUUGUGUUUCCAAAGACUGUCCGUCUUUUUGAAAUCUAGAGUUUCUAUGAACUGUUUGAUUCUUUGAUUUUGUUGUUUUAUGUGUUCUUCUUCGUGAUUUUGAUCAUCUUCUACUUUAGUUUUAAACAUUUUAC
rnacentral:lncRNA from 1 species